rnacentral:rRNA from 1 species
UCAGCAUGGCCGUUUAUAUCCUGGGCUACACACACGCUACAAUGGCCAACACAAUAGGUCGCUAAGCCGCGAGGUGGAGCCAAUCCAUAAAGUUGGUCUCAGUUCAGAUUGCAGGCUGCAACCCGCCUGCAUGAAGAUGGAGUUGCUAGUAACCGCAGGUCAGCUAUACUGCGGUGAAUACGUUCCCGGGGCUU